rnacentral:tRNA from 1 species
GCUGCGGUGUCCGAGUGGUUAAGGAGUUUGACUUGAAAUCAAAUGGGUUACGCCCGCACAGGUUCGAAUCCUGUCCGCAGCG